GGGAUACUCCGGGAAACCGGGGCUAAUACCGGAUAACAUUUUGAACCGCAUGGUUCGAAAUUGAAAGGCGGCUUCGGCUGUCACUUAUGGAUGGACCCGCGUCGCAUUAGCUAGUUGGUGAGGUAACGGCUCACCAAGGCAACGAUGCGUAGCCGACCUGAGAGGGUGAUCGGCCACACUGGGACUGAGACACGGCCCAGACUCCUACGGGAGGCAGCAGUAGGGAAUCUUCCGCAAUGGGCGAAAGUCUGAUGGAGCAACGCCGCGUGAGUGAAGAAGGCUUUCGGAUCGUAAAACUCUGUUGUUAGGGAAGAACAAGUGCUAGUUGAAUAAGCUGGCACCUUGACGGUACCUAACCAGAAGCCACGGCUAACUACGUGCCAGCAGC
rnacentral:rRNA from 2 species